rnacentral:rRNA from 1 species
UACGUAGGUGGCGAGCGUUGUCCGGAAUUACUGGGUGUAAAGCGCGUGUAGGCGGGAGGCCAAGUCUGUGGUGAAAUCGCUCGGCUUAACUGGGCGGGGUCCAUGGAAACUGGUCACCUGGAGGUCGGUAGAGGCAAGUGGAAUUCCCGGUGUAGAGGUGAAAUUCGUAGAUAUCGGGAGGAACACCAGUGGCGAAGGCGGCGAUCUGGGAACAUACUGACGCUGAGGUGCGAAAGCGUGGGGAGCAAACAGG